AAAAUCCGUCAGGACCCUAAGGGUGCUCUCACACCUGAGCUGUUUGGUCCGUUUUAACUGAACCCUGGAGCGUUUCGUUGGAUAGUCAGGUUUGCUUGGGUUGGUUUAAAGGAUCAUUCCAACUCUGGUGCGGAA